rnacentral:rRNA from 1 species
UGAGGAACAUGACCUUCGGCGGGGGAUAGCCGGCCCAACGGCCGGGUAAUACCGCGUACGACCACAUGGGGACAUCCCUGAGUGGUGAAAGCAGCAAUGCGCCGAUGGAGUGCCUCGCGGCCUAUCAGCUAGUUGGUGAGGUAACGGCUCACCAAGGCAACGACGGGUAGCUGGUCUGAGAGGAUGGCCAGCCACAUUGGGACUGAGACACGGCCCAGACCUCUACGGGACGG